UCUCACCAAUUUCUCACCCUCACAAACCCUAAUUGAACCCCAAGUCUCUCUGCUGGAUCCAUCUCGCUCCCUAACUGAACCCUAACUGAUACCUUCCGGUGCACUAUCGCUGCCCUCUAUUGCACCGUCGUUGCCCUCUAGGGCACAACGUCUCUCUUGUUCGCUACAGCCCAUGUGUGCAAUUGUCCACUAAAUUCAUAUGAAUAUGUUGUGGCUAAAUAUCUGCUUUUAUCUGCUCAUUAUGAUGUUUAGAAUAUGUGCACACUAAGGGUUUGAUGAAAUGUUUGUGUUAGUUUUCCCCUCUAACUUUAUUCACAAUUGUCUAAGUACCUUUGUUGCAAUUAUUGUUGAUUGUGCGUAGGUUGAGUUUGACAUGGUGAAGGUUCAUGUACUUACAAGGGAUAAAAGUUGGAACUAUUGAAGGCGCUUCAGGGAUCUUACAACAUUACGUGAAGGAUUAUUAUCUGUCCGGUGUGCUACCAGAAACUCUUCUUCGCCUUCGGUAACUGCUACCGGUGAUGAUUUCGAUGCGAAAGUUUUCCGGCAAAAUUUGACUCGAAGCGAUAAUUACAACCGGAAAGGGUUCGGACAUAAGAAGGAGACUCUUGAGCUCAUGAAUCAGGAGUAUACGAGCGUGCUGCUGCCUUUGUGAGAGGAUAUGAUGUUAUUAAACUAUUUACAGAGCUAGCUUACUGAUACAAGUGAACAUUAAACCUCUUCUUUGGUUAAGUUUUUUACUUGAUAUUAAUUGUAGUUAAACAAUAUAUUGAUGGUGCAUUGCUAGGACAUGGGGAUAUACAAGAGUUCUUCGAACUUGAAUAAAAGUUGGUGAUGCUGCACCAAUGACGUAUAUUGAGUAAGUUCUUUUAUCACAUGGGCUGAAAGACUUUUCUAUAAGCUUAUUUUUACUUUAUGCUAUCUAAAGUGCUUUUUACACUGUUACCUACAACCGAAAUUAUGGCUCGUUCAUCAAGAAGAAAUGGGUUGAUUUAGGUCACUGCAAUGCUAAUUGAAUUUGGGUCGAUUAAAUUUAAGCCUACUCAAAUUAUACAACAGGUAAAUUUCGGUAGAUUAUUAUAUACUUGCUACAUGAAAUUGGGUCCAAAUGGGUGAGCGCCAGCUGCACCACCCAUCACCAUUAUGCCACCUGCUAGUUGUCAAUACAUCGUGGUACUGCCAAUCCCGCUCCUGCUGGCCAUUUUGGGGAAUCUGUUUGGACCCAAACAAUAAUAGAAAAUGCAAUAAAAGCUAGUUCACCUUAGCUGCAAUAGUUUAACCCAAAAUCAUUUUGGUUUGAACCGGUUUGACCUGUUUUUCCUGGUUUAAUGUUAUCUGUUUUAGUUAUUAAUCUCAAAACAUUGCGAAAUUAACGAUGCGUUGGAUCCCUGAACAAGAUCACAGCUUAGCAGGAGUUUUGCAUCUCCGGCUCCACAACCAGCUCAAAGACCACCAUUGGAUCCCUCGAGAAGAUCUCAGCUUAGCAGGAGUUUCGCAUCUCCUAAAGAAGUCAAAAGCUUAGAAGCAGAGGAUUAAACCUUCUUGUCACUGGAAUCAUCCCUUCUGAAAGGUAUUAAAACAUUGUCAACACUGGCUUUUAAACUUCUAGCUUAAUAUUCUAAGUUUGUAGCGACUUUUUAUAGCUUAGAAUGAAAAAUUUUGUUUGGCUGCCAAGUGAAGGGAGUUUUAUGAGUCCUUUUUUUUCAUUGUUUAGGAGGGCGGAUCUAGAUUAUCUGAGAUUAUUAUAAAGAGUUUAUUUGGUUUUUUUAAUUCAAUUUGAGUAUGUUUGCUGGUUGGAUGAGAAUUUAAGAAGUCAUUAAAAUGUUCUUUCUUUGUUAUAAGAGUAAAUGAUAGGGGUGUUCUUGGUCAAGCUUGGUGAAAAUUGUGGGUCGAACCUCUGACUAUGUUUUCAUGUAAUGACAAACCAAACUAGGUGGUUCGAUUGUUAUAAGCUAUUCUGUUUUUUUAAUCACUCAAGGGGUAUUGUGCUUGUUACAUCUCGUCACAUGUUUUUGGAAAUUGAGAUAUGGAUGUACGAUAGGUUGCAAGUAUGCAUUUUAAUAACUUUAUUGUGAAAUAUUGGGCACCACAUGAUCCAGCUACAUCAUAUUUUAAGUGGAAUUUAAUUCAAAUAUAGCUUAGUGAUAGUUUUAGAUAUACGGGCACAUCGGUACCAUGUAGCGUGCUUGGAAUUCUAGCUAGAGAAUACGAGUAAGUACAUUAUAUAUGAAUUACCAUUUACGACCUAGAGUGCCACAUGGCCCACAUCUACGGUUACUAUAUUGUAGUGAUCAUGACCAAUUCUCUAUAACCAUUUACAAUAUAUUAUUGUCGUGGCUGACCAUUUUGUUGUAGGUCAAUCAUGGUAGGUACGGGUCACUGUGGGAUAACUGGAUUUGUGUCGCAUCUGAGAUUGGUUACAACGGGUAAUCUGUUACUAGAAAUGGAUUUCGUAAGUUCAACCCCAAUAUUUGUGUGGUUUUCUUUUUGUUUUAAAGCACGCCGAUGGCUUAAUCGUGUUAUUUGAUAUUCUAUAUGUGUAUGCUGCAGCAAAUUCCAUAUAAAAAGUUUUAGCCCUACACACACAAUACUUGCAUACAAAUGAUAUAUAAGAACAAUACAUGCACAUGUUCUAAUGUUUUUUUGUCCAUUAUGAAAUGUAUAUGGCCAUCUACGAUUUGAACAUCUUAGAUUGCAGUUCCUUUGUUUUCUCUUGUACAUUCCCUUGUGCUAACUACACUUAACUAGUGUAUCACAUACAAAUUCCCUUCAUUGUUUAUUUCAUAUGUCUGUUAAAACAAUUAGUGCUUAUUUUGCUUUUUAUUGUAGUUGUUAACAUGGUAGAUUUGAACUUACAGGAGAUUACAUGAAUGAAGCAUAAUUUGUUCUUUAACAGUUAAGGUAUAUAUUAUUAGAAGCCUUUCGAGCGAAGUUUUAUGACAGAGAAAUUCUCACUCAAAAGAACGUUUAAACUCCUCAUGUAAACAUUUGGAAUUUGAAAUAUGUUACUUAUUACAUAAUGUUUUGCUAAUACUUGGAGUAUGUUUCACAUCAAUAUAUUAUUGAAGUUAUAAUAUUAUGAUUGUUUAC
rnacentral:lncRNA from 1 species